AGGCCUGUAUGUACACAGUGCUGUAUAAAGUGGCUAUCCACAAGCAAACCAAAUGUUGUUCUUUGCAGAAGGUUAAUAAAAAUAACAGCCCUGUUAAAAAUAGGGACAAGGGACCUCCUAUGGACAGCAUCAGACCUUGGACUGGGGA